AGAGUUUGAUCCUGGCUCAGAGCGAACGCUGGCGGCAUGCUUAACACAUGCAAGUCGCACGGGUGGGGCAACCCAUCAGUGGCGGACGGGUGAGUAACGCGUGGGAAUCUGUCUCCGGGUGGGGGAUAACGAUGGGAAACUAUCGCUAAUACCGCAUGAAGCCCGAGGGCCAAAGCAGCAAUGCGCCUGGAGAGGAGCCC
rnacentral:rRNA from 1 species